GAUGAACGCUGGCGGCGUGCCUAAUACAUGCAAGUCGAGCGAACGGACGAGAAGCUUGCUUCUCUGAUGUUAGCGGCGGACGGGUGAGUAACACGUGGAUAACCUACCUAUAAGACUGGGAUAACUUCGGGAAACCGGAGCUAAUACCGGAUAAUAUUUUGAACCGCAUGGUUCAAAAGUGAAAGACGGUCUUGCUGUCACUUAUAGAUGGAUCCGCGCUGCAUUAGCUAGUUGGUAAGGUAACGGCUUACCAAGGCUACGAUGCAUAGCCGACCUGAGAGGGUGAUCGGCCACACUGGAACUGAGACACGGUCCAGACUCCUACGGGAGGCAGCAGUAGGGAAUCUUCCGCAAUGGGCGAAAGCCUGACGGAGCAACGCCGCGUGAGUGAUGAAGGUCUUCGGAUCGUAAAACUCUGUUAUUAGGGAAGAACAUAUGUGUAAGUAACUGUGCGCAUCUUGACGGUACCUAAUCAGAAAGCCACGGCUAACUACGUG
rnacentral:rRNA from 1 species